rnacentral:rRNA from 1 species
ACGCUGGCGGCAGGCCUAACACAUGCAAGUCGAGCGGUAGCACAGAGAGCUUGCUCUCGGGUGACGAGCGGCGGACGGGUGAGUAAUGUCUGGGAAACUGCCUGAUGGAGGGGGAUAACUACUGGAAACGGUAGCUAAUACCGCAUAACGUCGCAAGACCAAAGUGGGGGACCUUCGGGCCUCAUGCCAUCAGAUGUGCCCAGAUGGGAUUAGCUGGUAGGUGGGGUAACGGCUCACCUAGGCGACGAUCCCUAGCUGGUCUGAGAGGAUGACCAGCCACACUGGAACUGAGACACGGUCCAGACUCCUACGGGAGGCAGCAGUGGGGAAUAUUGCACAAUGGGCGCAAGCCUGAUGCAGCCAUGCCGCGUGUGUGAAGAAGGCCUUCGGGUUGUAAAGCACUUUCAGCGGGGAGGAAGGCGGUGAGGUUAAUAACCUCAUCGAUUGACGUUACCCGCAGAAGAAGCACCGGCUAACUCCGUGCCAGCAGCCGCGGUAAUACGGAGGGUGCAAGCGUUAAUCGGAAUUACUGGGCGUAAAGCGCACGCAGGCGGUCUGUCAAGUCGGAUGUGAAAUCCCCGGGCUCAACCUGGGAACUGCAUUCGAAACUGGCAGGCUAGAGUCUUGUAGAGGGGGGUAGAAUUCCAGGUGUAGCGGUGAAAUGCGUAGAGAUCUGGAGGAAUACCGGUGGCGAAGGCGGCCCCCUGGACAAAGACUGACGCUCAGGUGCGAAAGCGUGGGGAGCAAACAGGAUUAGAUACCCUGGUAGUCCACGCUGUAAACGAUGUCGAUUUGGAGGUUGUGCCCUUGAGGCGUGGCUUCCGGAGCUAACGCGUUAAAUCGACCGCCUGGGGAGUACGGCCGCAAGGUUAAAACUCAAAUGAAUUGACGGGGGCCCGCACAAGCGGUGGAGCAUGUGGUUUAAUUCGAUGCAACGCGAAGAACCUUACCUGGUCUUGACAUCCACAGAACUUUCCAGAGAUGGAUUGGUGCCUUCGGGAACUGUGAGACAGGUGCUGCAUGGCUGUCGUCAGCUCGUGUUGUGAAAUGUUGGGUUAAGUCCCGCAACGAGCGCAACCCUUAUCCUUUGUUGCCAGCGGUUCGGCCGGGAACUCAAAGGAGACUGCCAGUGAUAAACUGGAGGAAGGUGGGGAUGACGUCAAGUCAUCAUGGCCCUUACGACCAGGGCUACACACGUGCUACAAUGGCAUAUACAAAGAGAAGCGACCUCGCGAGAGCAAGCGGACCUCAUAAAGUAUGUCGUAGUCCGGAUUGGAGUCUGCAACUCGACUCCAUGAAGUCGGAAUCGCUAGUAAUCGUAGAUCAGAAUGCUACGGUGAAUACGUUCCCGGGCCUUGUACACACCGCCCGUCACACCAUGGGAGUGGGUUGCAAAAGAAGUAGGUAGCUUAACCUUCGGGAGGGCGCUUACCACUUUGUGAUUCAUGACUGGGG